UUCAAUUCAAAUAUUUCUCAACUUUGGUUGUGACAACAACAUUAAGUACAACGCGAAAAUCACACAAACUCAUACAUAUACGUAUGUAGUACGUGACAGUUGUUUUUAUUUACGGGCAAAUCUGAAUCACAACUGAUUGUGCUGAAAAGAAAUUUACCUGAACUUGCCGGAACUGGAACAUUUGAUUUUACGCAUACUUUUUGGAAUUGUGAGGGAACAAAUUCUUGCCAACAACACCAACUCAUCAAAAAAAACAAAAAACUCAGCGCUGAGCCCCACAGAUACCAAUUAAUAUAGUCGUUGUUGCAAUGGAAUGCAACCAGGUGGCAAAUGCCAGCACGCACACGCGUCGCACCGUUCAUGGACAAUGGCACCGUGGUGAAUGUGCUAAUAAAAAUUUCAUUGUGUAAUCAAAAUCAAAAUGCCAAAGCUUAACGCUGCUUUAAGCAACCCACAAAAUGUCACAACUGGACAAAGUAAUGUAUACGGUGACGGCUGCCAGUAUGUCAAUGACAGCGACAGAUGUUCAGGCGUGUCUUUGUACCCAAAAAAUGUUUGCAUUAAAACUCCAAUAACAACAAUGUGGUAUGUUGCUUGGUGUAAAAAGCAGAAAUAACAUAUUUGGUAAAAAAUGGCAAGUGUGAAAAGAUAUAUAAAUUAAAAUUUAACAAUAUACAUACAUACACAUAUGCAUACAUAUGACACGUGUGCAGUCAAGUGUCUUGGGAAAAAUAUUUCAACUAAACCGUAAUAAUAAAUGCAAGCAGGUGUGUGAGUGUAUAAACAACAAAUACAAGUUCAUAUGUGUGUAUGAAUAUGUCAGGCAUGUCACAGCGUGAGUUUGGCAAGUUGAAAGCUUGUGGCUGCCAA